UCAAGGUGGCCUAAGAGAAAAUGUUGUUCCAGGCUUGUUGGCAGUUCCUACCUACACUGAUGUCAGGCACAGGGGAGUCUGGAAGCUGUUGAAAUGAGGACUUUUCCAGCUUGUGCCAUCAGGUUUUCUGCCUGGAUCUCCAACCCCAUUCCCAUCUGGAUUCUGAAGUCAAGACUUGGAAGUAAGAAAUGGUAACAUCAGUUGAGAUUGUCUUUGAAUGGAAGAGAUAUAAAUAGAAGAAUGCGGUAGCCGUUUUCCAUCUUGUCCACUUGGAAAUAUACUGAGAAAGGAAGUGUGCAGCGAGUGUGAGAGGUAAAGCAGAGCCUCAGAUAAGAGUGGGGACCAGGAGCAGAGAUUGAGAGAGGUGGGUCACUCUGAGGCCUGAGCCACUGUGGGAUCACCCAGCAUCCUCAUCUGCAAAUUACCCCUCCUGCUUAAACUGGCUGUAGUGGGUUUCCAGCGCUCAUACUUGAAGAGUUCACACAAAUACACCUGGACUGAGUAAUUCAAGGAACAAAAUUCAUUGCAUGAAGCAAUUUUCUUGGAAGCCUUUCUUGAAUCCCCUAAAUUGGGUUAGGAGCUCCUCUCAAACACAGCUGCUUCCCUUUCCCCAUGGACUUACUUGUAUCUUAGCCCUAGUUAUACUCUUCUUAAAAAUAUGUCUGUAUUAAAAAAGUUAUCUUUAAAACCCAC
rnacentral:lncRNA from 1 species